rnacentral:lncRNA from 1 species
UGCAUACAAGCUAAGCUUCCUCUCUUGAUUCAGGUUCAGAGCUGGGGCGAUAGACUUGUCUCACGCCGACGAAGGAUAGCAUGAGGCUCGGAAACGCUUGGCUGAACCACAUGCACCAUUGUGGUGUGGAAAAGCUCCCAAAAGCCUUACUAAGCUUGGCGCCGAAGUAGAAGCUUGGCUGCAGACAUGAUAGUGAGCAAAGGCAAAAGUUAGGAUACCAUUGUUCGAACCAUGCUCGAACCAUGCGCUGCCCAAACAGGGGAUUGAGAACAAGCAACUGGUAUGCAACUGUAGUAAUUACUCAGCUUCACGAAACAUAUUUUCAUUCAUGCACGUCUGGUGGUCCUCAGACACAGAAGAACAAUGUCAUUUCUCUUCUUGCCUGACAAGUUGUUUUACUCUAAAAGAAAAUCUUCCCUUAAGGCCUAAAUAGUUAUAUUAUCUGUAAAAUCUUUCAGGUCGGCAGUCUGCAAACCGCAUUUUGACACUACAGGAAACCGCUUGUGCGCGGUUUUUUGCGGUUGUAGCAAGGUCAAGCCAGCCAGUACAAUUUGGACUACUGGAGGAAAGGCAGGUGCAACUCAAGGAAAAUGCACAAGGGACGGAAACGCAUUUUUUGUCAUCGUGACCUGUAUGCGCCUCAGGCAGUGGGCAUAGCUUGGCGGUCCAGUACAUAACUAAAACACGGACACAGGCGGAUAGAGAGAGC